rnacentral:rRNA from 1 species
AUUGAACGCUGGCGGCAUGCUUUACACAUGCAAGUCGAACGGUAACAGGCCGCAAGGUGCUGACGAGUGGCGAACGGGUGAGUAAUGCAUCGGAACGUGCCCAGUCGUGGGGGAUAACGCAGCGAAAGCUGCGCUAAUACCGCAUACGAUCUAUGGAUGAAAGCGGGGGACCGUAAGGCCUCGCGCGAUUGGAGCGGCCGAUGUCAGAUUAGGUAGUUGGUGGGGUAAAGGCUCACCAAGCCAACGAUCUGUAGCCGGUCUGAGAGGACGACCAGCCAAACUGGGACUGGUACACGGCCCAGACUCCUACGGGAGGCAGCAGUGGGGAAUUUUGGACAAUGGGCGCAAGCCUGAUCCAGCAAUGCCGCGUGCAGGAAGAAGGCCUUCGGGUUGUAAACUGCUUUUGUACGGAACGAAACGGUCCUGGUUAAUACCUGGGGCUAAUGACGGUACCGUAAGAAUAAGCACCGGCUAACUACGUGCCAGCCGCCGCCGUAA